AAUUAAGCCAAAUAAGAGAAAGAACAAAGAAGAAAGAAAGACGAAAGGAAAUGUGAGUGAGUUGUCUGUUGUUCCCUUUGUGCUUUCUCUUUCUUUCGCUUCAAUUACA
rnacentral:ribozyme from 1 species